rnacentral:rRNA from 1 species
GACAUAGGCAGCAUCAGUAAGCGGAGCCAAGCUCCCGGAAAAACGGGACGCGGCCGCCAGAGUAACCCUAAACUCUGUUUCUAUAUGUAACUUCUGAGUAAAACCAUAAAUAAAUCAAAACUUUCAACAACGGAUCUCUUGGUUCUGGCAUCGAUGAAGAACGCAGCAAAAUGCGAUAAGUAAUGUGAAUUGCAGAAUUCAGUGAAUCAUCGAAUCUUUGAACGCACAUUGCGCCCGCCAGUAUUCUGGCGGGCAUGCCUGUUCGAGCGUCAUUUCAACCCUCAAGCACAGCUUGGUGUUGGGACUCGCGUUAAUUCGCGUUCCCCAAAUUGAUUGGCGGUCACGUCGAGCUUCCAUAGCGUAGUAGUAAAACCCUCGUUACUGGUAAUCGUCGCGGCCACGCCGUUAAACCCCAACUUCUGAAUGUUGACCUCGGAUCAGGUAGGAAUACCCGCUGAACU